rnacentral:lncRNA from 1 species
UAGACAGUGGCGUAGCCAGGGUUGAAACGAUGUGGAUGCGAAAUUGUCGCCAAGCGAGGCGAAAAAAUUUUGGGACCAUAUUAUGCAGAAAAUUAUAUUUUUUUGGACAUUUUCCCAUUUAUGCAUGAGUAUUCCCCUAGAAUCCGACACUAGUUAGAUUUUUGUUUAAUUUCAAAAUACCAACCAAUAUAUAUUCAUUUUCCAACAGAAUUUUAUUGUUUUCUCGAAAGUACCUUCAUUCAAUUCAAAAAUAUUUAAUGUUAAAGUUUCACACUUGACAUCACAAAAAUAUAACAAGUACAGCGGCACCUCUGUUCAUGGAACUUUGGAAUAUAGGAACCGAAGUGAUCCCCUUUCUCGGAAUAUAAGCCUCACAAUGGGUUUUUUGAUUAAUUGUCUUAAAGCGUUGCAGUGGACAUGAAAAUACUGGGCGGCCUGCGUCCGUCUGGUCUUGUUAGCACUAUCAUGUAUACAAUUCCUGCCAGCUUUUUGUGAAACUUGUAUCAUCAGCAAUGUCUUUGACGAUUGCGAAAAUAAGUCCUGAUCAUCUAUUUUGAAC